CUUAAUUUGUCAAAAAAGACAGGUGCAUGUCUUGUCAACAACACUAGGUACAUGUCAUUGUUAUCAAUGAUUAAUCCAGGUUCCUUCAUCAAAUUUACUAAAUCAUAAAAGCCACUCACUCAUGUUAUUUAAAUCAGUUAAAAUGACUGCAAACCUUGGUCAGCCAAGAUCUUACAAGCUAAGCCCAAGCAUGGCACACAUGCAAAAUGAUGGAUAUAAUGUCAAUGACAACCAUAGAGUUUGUAGAAGUUGUAUUGUGAAGCAUUUUGAGAGAGUUCGUUGCAACUACAAAUGUCCACUAUGCCAUGAGCUUGUGCAUAAAACAAAUCCUUGGUAUAAUCUUAAAACCAAUUGUGUUCAUCAGGACAUAGUUAAUAAACUGGUACCUGAUUUUGCAGAAGGUUAAUGUUUUUACCUCAAAUUGGUGACAUUGAUUUU